rnacentral:rRNA from 1 species
AUUGAACGCUGGCGGCAUGCCUUACACAUGCAAGUCGAACGGUAACAGGUCUUCGGACGCUGACGAGUGGCGAACGGGUGAGUAAUACAUCGGAACGUGCCCGAUCGUGGGGGAUAACGAAGCGAAAGCUUUGCUAAUACCGCAUACGAUCUACGGAUGAAAGCAGGGGACCGCAAGGCCUUGCGCGAACGGAGCGGCCGAUGGCAGAUUAGGUAGUUGGUGGGAUAAAAGCUUACCAAGCCGACGAUCUGUAGCUGGUCUGAGAGGACGACCAGCCACACUGGGACUGAGACACGGCCCAGACUCCUACGGGAGGCAGCAGUGGGGAAUUUUGGACAAUGGGCGAAAGCCUGAUCCAGCCAUGCCGCGUGCAGGAUGAAGGCCUUCGGGUUGUAAACUGCUUUUGUACGGAACGAAAAGACUCUGGUUAAUACCUGGGGUCCAUGACGGUACCGUAAGAAUAAGCACCGGCUAACUACGUGCCAGCAGCCGCGGUAAGAC